GUAAAAGAAUUAAUGCUUGUCUGCCGGUAUCUGUUAAAGCUGUAACGGAAAUGCUGAAUGCAGUGAUCCAGGAGCUUGGAGAGAAUGGUGAAGAGGGAAGUCUUGCCUCCGGAAAUAUCUCACCAGCUGCACACAUGGAAGUAAAAUAUUCAAUUCCAUCACCUAAGAAGUUCUCUUUCUCGCCAACAAAUACCUACCAGUUUUCUCCUAAGACUGACUCUCAGUGGGCAGAAGAUCACAAGUCCUUACUUAAAAAGCUGUGUCAGCACGUGGAAGCUUUAACGGUAAGCAACUUUAGUCACUAUAUUCGGUGCAGAAUGGUUGAUCUUUUUGUUCUG